CCUGGCUCAGAUUGAACGCUGGCGGCAUGCCUUACACAUGCAAGUCGAACGGCAGCGGACCUUCGGGUGCCGGCGAGUGGCGAACGGGUGAGUAAUAUAUCGGAACGUACCUUUCAGUGGGGGAUAACGUAGCGAAAGUUACGCUAAUACCGCAUAUUCUGUGAGCAGGGAAGCAGGGGAUCGCAAGACCUUGCGCUGAUUGAGCGGCCGAUAUCAGAUUAGCUAGUUGGUGAGGUAAAGGGCUCACCAAGGCGACGAUCUGUANCGGGUCUGAGAGGAUGAUCCGCCACACUGGAACUGAGACACGGUCCAGACUCCUACGGGAGGCAGCAGUGGGGAAUUUUGGACAAUGGGCGCAAGCCUGAUCCAGCCAUGCCGCGUGAGUGAAGAAGGCCUUCGGGUUGUAAAGCUCUUUCGGCCGGGAAGAAAUCGCACAGGUUAAUACCCUGUGUGGAUGACGGUACCGGAAUAAGAAGCACCGGCUAACUACGUG
rnacentral:rRNA from 1 species